UACGUAGGGGGCAAGCGUUGUCCGGAUUUAUUGGGCGUAAAGAGCGUGUAGGCGGCCAAGCAGGUCCGCUGUGAAAACUCGAGGCUCAACCUCGAGACGUCGGUGGAAACCGUUUGGCUAGAGUCCGGAAGAGGAGAGUGGAAUUCCCGGUGUAGCGGUGAAAUGCGCAGAUAUCAGGAGGAACACCAAUAGCGAAGGCAGCUCGCUGGGACGUUACUGACACUGAGGCGCGAAAGCGUGGGGAGCGAACAGG
rnacentral:rRNA from 1 species